rnacentral:RNase_P_RNA from 1 species
AGCAGGCUGGACAGCCGCGUGGGCAGGCCGAAAGGCCGUCCAUGAGGAAAGUCCGGGCUCCACAGGGCAAGAAUAACGGGUAACGCCCGCCGAAGGCGACUUCAGGACAAGUGCAACAGAGAGAUACCGCCUGGCUCUGGUCCAGGUAAGGGUGGAAAGGUGAGGUAAGAGCUCACCCGCCGGCUCGAGAGUGUCCGGUGAUGUAAACUCUAUUCGGAGCAACACCGUGGAGGGGAAUUGCGACCGGCCCGGUCUCCCCGAGGAGGUGGCUGGAGCGCACCGGCAACGGUGCGCCUAGAUAGAUGGCUGUCAAAACAGAACCCGGCUUACAGGCCUGCUUG